UACAAAAGCCUGCGGCUGAAUCGGAGAAAGAACUUCAGAGCUAUUGAACGUGUCACAGAAUCGACUUCUGCAAAGACAUUUUGGAUAAUGAGAAAGCUGAAAUAAUCAAGAACUUGGCUGCUCUAGACGCAGAUGGCCUGUUUUCAUGAAGUGCUCGGCCAAGUCGGGGCUUAAGCGAGCGAGGAGUGGAGUUAUAUAAAAUAUUCCAAGUCUUCUGCAUGGAUACUGUAUCCACACAGUGAGCUGGGCGGAGACCGAGCAGAGUGCCAGGUGCAGCCCAUGAGCAUGAGGAGCCACACCUGUUGCCAAUCAAGCUCUUUGUACAGUAGCUGGAAGAGGCGGCUGAGCACUGAUGGAAGGACGCUCAUAAUCAUACACCUGAAAGCGCCAAGUGUGGCUCCACUCUCAACUAAACUGUUGCACUAAUGGUGUGGAUUUGAUUUUGCUUGUUAAUUAAUUUGUAUUUGGUAAAGAGCCGCAGGUGCAAACCAAGGGCGCCUUCUACUUGUUUCUGGCAAUUAAUCGUUAUUUGACUUAGGUGGAAUCACAUGAUUUGUCAAGUGAAUGAUGGCUUUGGCUCGAUGGUAUCAACCUGAUGAAUGCAUUGCACAAAACCACAUAAAUGCUAUAUGCCGUGCUCAUGCGAUCCUCAUACUUCAUACUUUGUAUGAUCAAAUAAUUUAAAAUGACAUUAAUUUAACUCCUUCACUCCUAUUUAUUUGAUCUUGAAACUGAGUCAAUUAUCCAUCCCCCCCUGUUCCAGCAUGUUCCACCCCACGCUAAUCCCUGUGCACAAGAAACCAGUUUCCAGUAUUAAAUGAUGAAUGGAUGAAUAUUUACUGGGAUUAAAUUCAAGGUUUUCUAUGACGGAAGUCAACAAAUGUGUAUAAAUAAGACCUUUGUAUUAAAUAAGUUAUAAAUACUUUCCAUAAACUUUUCUGGCAAACUAUUAGACGCACAGCAUACUUCCAUACUUAACCUUGCUAUUUUGAGCACAUAAAUGUGUUCACGCUGUCAAUUGUGGAAAAGGCAGCCAAGGAAACUGCUGGAGCUGAAACCAUUGUGGUGAAUACCACAAUAUACAAUUAUGUUAAAAUGUUGCCAUCAUCAUUUCAAGUUUUCAUUUCAUGAAUUGAGACAACACUACUCUGGAAACCGUAUUUAUUGGCCUAAAUGUAUCAUCACAGUCAUCAUCAUAGUGGGACUCUUCAUUCAGGGAAUAUAUUUAUGCGUAUAUCUCCAUGGAGUUAAAAAGGUCACAUCGAUUUGGAUGUAUCCUGACUGUCCUCUGACUGUAAUUUCUGUUUGAAACAGAAGACUGAAGUCAAACGUCAAGCGUGGAGGAAUUAAAUGUAAAUCACAUAAAUCACUGGGAUUUCCAUUACAGA